rnacentral:tRNA from 1 species
GCGCGAUUAGCUCAGCGGUAGAGCGCUGCGUUCACAUCGCAGAGGUCGCAGGUUCGAAACCUGCAUCGCGCACAA